rnacentral:rRNA from 1 species
UACAGAGGGUGCGAGCGUUAAUCGGAAUUACUGGGCGUAAAGCGCGCGUAGACGGUUUUGUAAGUCUGUCGUGAAAGCCCCGGGCUCAACCUGGGAAUGGCGAUGGAUACUGGCUCGCUAGAGUGCGGUAGAGGAGAGUGGAAUUCCCGGUGUAGCAGUGAAAUGCGUAGAUAUCGGGAGGAACACCAGUGGCGAAGGCGGCUAUCUGGGCUGCAACUGACGCUGAGGCGCGAAGGCUAGGGUAGCAAACAGG